GUCCGAUCUUGCCCAAACUUCACAUGUUUGAUAAGAUUCCUGGCCUGAACACAUCUGAAGGCCAAUAUUCCAUCGGGUGUGGCAAAAUGCCUCGAUAGCGCCACCUAUACAUUUUCAACGGAGUGCGCCUCGAGCUACGUUUCACGUACAUGUAGAAAAAUUGGUACACACAUAUAACACACCAAUACCUACAAAAAAGUCUCUUGGUACGAAAUUCGAAUCCCAACAGGAAGUCAGUUAUUUUGAAUUUUCUCUGCAAAAUUUGUGUCGUUUUUGCCAUUUUCAGUGGUUGUACUUUAACGAACUCCUCCUAGAGAUUUAUUCAGAUCAACACCAAACUUUGUCAGUGUAAUCUAAAGGCCUUUGCAAUGUUAAAUUGCGAAGAUCUUGAGGUUUCGUUUAAGGGCGUGUCUGUGGCGGCCUUACAAAUUUUGAUGUUUCGCCAUG
ensembl:lncRNA